GAUGAACGCUGGCGGCGUGCCUAAUACAUGCAAGCCGAGCGAACGGACGAGAAGCUUGCUUCUCUGAUGUUAGCGGCGGACGGGUGAGUAACACGUGGAUAACCUACCUAUAAGACUGGGAUAACUUCGGGAAACCGGAGCUAAUACCGGAUAAUAUUUUGAACCGCAUGGUUCAAAAGUGAAAGACGGUCUUGCUGUCACUUAUAGAUGGAUCCGCGCUGCAUUAGCUAGUUGGAAGGUAACGGCUUACCAAGGCAACGAUGCAUAGCCGACCUGAGAGGGUGAUCGGCCACACUGGAACUGAGACACGGUCCAGACUCCUACGGGAGGCAGCAGUAGGGAAUCUUCCGCAAUGGGCGAAAGCCUGACGGAGCAACGCCGCGUGAGUGAUGAAGGUCUUCGGAUCGUAAAACUCUGUUAUUAGGGAAGAACAUAUGUGUAAGUAACUGUGCACAUCUUGACGGUACCUAAUCAGAAAGCCACGGCUAACUACGUG
rnacentral:rRNA from 1 species